rnacentral:lncRNA from 1 species
AAAUCUGGAACAGAUGAAUCAACGAUCAAUACAUGUGAACAUAAUUUAGGAUAUUUAAACUUUUUGAAUAUCAAAUUUUAUAAUUUUUCGACAUCAUCUACUUAGAAAUUAAGCGACCACAAAACUAAUAAUUUUAACGAUCUAUAUGAGGUGGUUUUUGUUUAACAGUAUUGAACAGUUAAAUUAAAAAUAAAGGUAAUAAAUUAGGUCACAUGUGAAUAGGUCUAAACCUAUGCUUUACUACUCAGUAACGGUGCCGACACUCUAUUUCAUCAUUGACCUUACGUAGCAUAGUUGGCUAAAAUCGUAAUGAUUAGUAAUGAAAAUUUAAAUUUCAAAUUUAAAAUCUAAUUAUUUUAUGUUAUCUAAAUAAAUUAAUUUUUUAAAAAAUAAAGAGAAAAUUUCAAAUACCCCCUCUGUGGUUUCGCACUCUCUCAUUUUAGUACCCUGUGAUUUAAAGUAUAUCAAGUUAGUACUCUAUGGUUUCGCACUCUCUCACUUUAGUACCCUGUGGUUUAAAGUAUAUCAAGUUAGUACUCUAUGGUUUCGCACUUUCUCACUUUAGUAUCAUGUGGUUUAAAGUGUAUCAAGUUAGUACUCUGUGGUUUUAUUUUUGUAUCAAGUUAGUACCCUGUGGUUUUAUUUUUCUCUUUUUAUUAUCCAUUCGGGUUUUUUUUUUUGUUAAAUCAGUGACAAAGUUAAAACUAAAGGAUGCUAAAAUAAAUAUUCGAUAAACCUAGGUAGGGUAUAGGAAGUUUUCUGUAUAUAAUUUAACGAAAUAUUAAACCACAGGGUACUAAAGUGAGAAAGUGCGAAACCACAGGAUACUAAUUUGAUACACUUUAAACCACAGAGUACUAAAGUGAGAAAGUGCAAAACCACAUGCGGGU